rnacentral:rRNA from 1 species
UGACCGACCUUCGGGAGCUUGCACAGGUGCUGCAUGGCUGUCGUCAGCUCGUGUCGUGAGAUGUUCGGUUAGUCGCUAACGAGCGCAACCCUCGCUGUGUGUUAUAUGUGUCACACGGGACUGCCGGGUCUUAAAGCCGGAGGAAGGUGGGGAUGAUGUCAAGUCAGCAUGGCCUUUAUAUCCUGGGCUACACACACGCUACAAUGGCCAACACAAUAGGUUGCUAAGCCGCGAGGUGGCGCCAAUCCAUAAAGUUGGUCUCAGUUCAGAUUGUAGGCUGCAACCCGCCUGCAUGAAGAUGGAGUUGCUAGUAACCGCAGGUCAGCUAUACUGCGGUGAAUACGUUCCCGGGCCUU